rnacentral:rRNA from 2 species
UACAGAGGUCCCGAGCGUUGUUCGGAUUCACUGGGCGUAAAGGGUGCGUAGGUGGUGAGGUAAGUCGGAUGUGAAAUCUCCGGGCUCAACCCGGAAAUGGCAUUGGAAACUACCUUGCUGGAGGAUUUGAGGGGGGAUUGGAAUACUUGGUGUAGCAGUGAAAUGCGUAGAUAUCAAGUGGAACACCAGUGGCGAAGGCGAAUCCCUGGAAAAUACCUGACACUGAGGCACGAAAGCUAGGGGAGCAAACAGG